UCUCUCGUAACAUCUCCGUCUCAUUUUCCCAAUUCACAUCAACCCUAAUUCGCCUGGAUCUCUUUUUCCCUCAAAAUAUUUAUGUUUCCUAAUUCAUAUUCGAAGAAAUCUAAACCAAAAACACACUCAUCUUCUUCCGUUAAACCUCUUUCUCUUCUCCCUCUCUCUCCUGCCAUGAAAAUCGAAAUCACAAUCUCUGAUUACCUAAAGAGAUUGCGUUCUGGGGAGUGGGAGGCGCGGGUUAGAAACCAAGCUCUGGACUUCUAAAGGUUUGUGCUCAUUACAGUUUUGGAACACUGUCCACAAGCACGACCACAAGCGCCAUCACCGAUAUUGUCGUCUCAGUCUGCUCCUGCUCUCCACACCGUACCUGCAACUCAGUUCGCCAUCCUUAGUUCACCGCUGUGAAGCAGCCAUAAUCAAGCUCUAAGCCAUCAGCAAGUACCAUCCACAUCGUCUCAUGUGUCUCUUUCUCUGCUCUCACCGCGGCGUUGUGUCCAUGCUCAAGAUCGUUGUGGUAGCCUCUUCUCCUCUUCAGUUGUACAAGGAGAGCUCGAGCAACCAUAUUCAGCAACCAUAUUCGAUUCUAUUCCUAUUUGCAGCGGCUGAUGUAUUCAUGAAGAAGAACAAGAAGAUGACUGCUGGUGUACUCGGUGAUGCUACAGCCGCUUGGGUUCUCUUUGAGUUGUUGGAGUACCACCUUCUCACUCACUUUGUCAAGUUGUGAUUAUGUGCUUGAUGUACUGUUUCUCAGGUCUAAUAUGCCACCAUGUUCAUCAACAAAAGUCCAUCCUAAUGAUCUUUGAUGCUGGCUUGUGGGUUCUAUGGGUUUUGGGUGGCUGGUUUAACUUCUUGACAUUGGCGUACAUAGGAUCAUUGUUUUAGGAUGACUCGCGAUGUUGCAUCACGGUUAGGCUAUAUAUAUCAAGCCUGCUCUGAUUGAGUCAUCAUUUUUCCGAGCAGGGAAGUGUACUUUCUUUUGUAGCCUUCUAGAGUUAAUGAGAGUGAUAGAGAUAUGCUUGCUUACACAGACCUUUAUGCUUUUGAAUGCUUAAUGCAUUGGUCACCUUUUUCGUAAGGAGAGAACGGGAAAUUAAAUGUCUGGUAGCGAUCCAAACUCUGCUAUCUAUGUAACUGAUACUGCAAAAGACAUUAAAAACAAGAUAGACAGAUAUGCGUUCAGUGGUGGGCAAGACUCCAUUGAAAAGCACAGAGAAAUCGGAGCAAGACUGGAGUUUGGAACUUAAUCACAUGUCGAUAUACCAGUCAAGUAUCUUAGUUUCUUCUUAGAAGAUGAUGCUGAACUUGAACACAUAAAGAAGGAAUAUGGAGACGGGUGAAUGCUAAUGGGAGAAGUAAAGAAGAGACUCAUUGAAGUUUUGUCAGAAAUGGUGGAGAGACACUGCAUGGCUCAAGCUGCUGUUACUGAUGGGAUGGUGGAUGCGUUCAUGGCCGUGAGACCUCUCCCAAACAUGUUCGAGUAGCUUGAUGAAAACCCUCUUUUUGGCUGCACCUUUAGAUGACAUGACUUUGAAAUGUUUUCUGUUUUUAUUUGAUAGAUAUU